CUUAGAGAAAAAACCCGCUCAACAAAUAAAAAUGUUAAGCUCUCUUUCUCUAUUACCCAAAAAUUAUUCUAUCUUCCAUUCAUAUCUCUCUCUUAUAUUCAUAUUUCUCGCUUACACUAAUAUCUCUCCGGGCUCAUCUCUCUCUCGACUCAUCUCUCUCCUGGCUCAUCUCUAUCCGAUCUUUUAUAUCUACGCUGUUCUCUCUUCGUCCAUCUCAACUUAGAGGUGGGAGAUAUCUCCAUCGAUGAUUAUAAGUUAUCUUACUAUGUGAUGUCUAUUUAUGUAGCGGAGGAUACAAAGGUAUCCACAAUGGCAAAGCCCUGAUUUUUAUAUAUCAAGAGAGGUCAACAAGGUAUGGACGGAGUUGGAAGGGUACAUAAAGAAGCUUGUACAUGCUGAAGUAUAUGUUGAGUCUAAAGAAGAAGGCAAUGUGGAAGGAGCAAGUGCAAUGAACAGAACUAGUUUUCUUGGUCUCACUGGUGCUAAGUAGGGAAACUACCGCAUCUGCAGGUCAAAACCUACAUUCUCGUAUGGUUGACACCUGGACUGUUGUAAAUGCUCCUGAAUCCUGUCUACUUAUAUGGACUAAUCUCAGAGCAUUCUGUAUAUUUGCCAGAAGAUGCACCUGGGUGGCUAUUGUCGUUAGCAGGUUUCUGUCCUAUAUAAAAGGUCAAGCUUGCUACGUGAUCUGCAUAGACUUCUUACCAAGUCUUUGAGUCAGCUUGGCUCCUAGAGUUGGAACCUGAAAGACCUGAAAGAUCAGUACUUAGAAAGUUUGAAUGAAAAGACCCGAGAUCAACUUGCUCAAGAGAUGGAAGAAAAAAUGGAUCAAAAGGUUAGGGAGAAUGUAAAGGCACUGGUGUCCAAGUUGGCAGAAAAGAAUCCAGAUCAACCUCAAGAUUGAUAUUGAAGACCUCGGUGUCGAGCCGACAUAAGAUGCCUCUGCAAGUGGAGCCAACACCGCCAACACGGAAACUACUUGAUUUGAUCCUUGAUGUACUUAAAAAAUCUAACCAUAUAUUGCAAAUUUUCACUUGUAAUGUAAUUAUGACUUGAGAAUUUAUGAACUUGAACUGCUAUUUCAGUAGGAUGGUUAGAUUAUGAUUGUUGCAAAACUUGGGUGAAUAAUUUAUGGUUAAAUCAGAAUUUGCAAUUGGUUGGCUUGAUUUGUUUUGGGAUGUUUCCUAUUAAAUCAAAAUUUGUUGUUG